AGUAUGCCAUUGAUCUUAUCUUCUGUUGGCGCCUAACGGGAGAAACAAAUCCAAGUCAAUCUUUAGAGAUCCAAAAGCGUUCUUGGUGUAGAAAAAAAAAAAUACAAAAGAAGUUAUAAAGAGAUUGCUUACCUGCCAACGAAUCAACACGGAGGUUGUGGUGUGUGGUGUCACGGAGAUAACUAGCGGAGAAUCGUCAGGCGCUGCGUGGGAAAAUAAAAUAGAAGAUGAAGCACGCAGAGAUAUUUGACACAUCUUCCCUUGGAUCACAAUUAACUCUCACCUGUCCACAAGAGCAGAGGUGGCAUUGUGACUGAUGGAAGCGGAGUGGACAACCCAACGCCCCUUGGGCAGUUCUCGGGUCUGGAUGGUGUAGUAACGGACAGGAGAAAGGCCAUCGCUGCCAGGUUCCCACGCCAAGAGGACGCUCCGUGACUUCACGUCUUCCUGUAGAACCCCCGGCUUGCUAGGCGACUGAGGACGCUCUGAAAUAGAGAUAGGAAUGUGGAUUUCAAUGCGGGACAACUUCACCCAACACUUUUAUUCUGGAUGCUGGGUAACAAAAUCACAAACUGACGAACUAUGUUUGAUGAGGACUCUGCCAACGAUGAGAUAUCGGAGAACUCUUAGUUCUGUGCAACGUUUGUACAGCUAUUGCAAAGCCAAAGAAUAGUGUCACCAUACCCUGAUGGGCAUUCAAGACCCAACUAACUCCAGGCUAAAAUUCUUAAGUCAAAAGAGAAGCUUAGGCUCAGUGCCACUUUCUGCACCAUCAAGGACUGCCCACCAUUGGGGAAUGCCAUGGGAGAAGAUUGGGGGGGAAGUUAUUGUAAAAGAUUGGGGGACGCCAUUGGGGAAGACCCAAUGCAUCACGUGACCAGCCCCAAGACAUAAAAGGAAAGGGUAUUAAAAAAAAAAAAAUGGAAAGGGAUACUUCCAGGUGGCCUCCAGAGAGAGAAGGGGCUAAAAGUUGAGCUUUAACAAAUAAACACUAUCCCAAUGUUUGGUAAAGUAAGAGUGUCCACUUUAAAUUGGACUUGUUGGAGGGUCCGAGAUGGGAAAUGCAGCAUGGGCAUUCUACCACUGGAGGCACCACAUCAAACCAACGUUUGUAACGUGUUGCUACAUGGCAUAAUGUUAACAGGCCCUAAGAUGAGAUAUUUUCUCACUUCAUGUUGUGUCUCCAAUAGAGGAAGUGACACCCCCUCUCCCAAAACCAAGAGUUCUAACCCUUCCCUACUCUUUCUUAAAUUUAAAGAAAUUGUCUUUGGAUACCCUCCAGAUUAAAUAAGAAAGGUUCUAAAAUAUGCCAUCUUGUACCUCGCUUCUCUGUGGUGACCACCAGUGCUUCAGCCGCCUCUCCCCAUCCUUUGCGAGUCUGGGCGGUGAUUCUGAACAGGUAGACAGAUUCCGGCCUCAGCGCCGUAGCGGUAUACUGCCGUACACUUGGGUUCAGAACAUCCACUGUUGCGGUGUUGGCAUUGGUUGUAUUGAGCCGGUGAGUUAUCUGAUAGGCUGUUGGGGAAAAAAAUACAAUAAUUGUUUACUGAACUACAACAGGUAAUCAUUAUCUGUUGUCAUUCGCUGGCAGCGGUCACAUGACUUAAGCGUGGCAUUGUCAUAGAACGUCUUUCAUUAAUAAAGUUGCUGUAAACCCGAACUGAA